rnacentral:tRNA from 1 species
GCUGAUGUAGCUCAGUCGGCUAGAGCACUUGAUUCGUAAUCAAGAGGCCGGGAGUUCGAGUCUCCCCAUCAGCACCA